rnacentral:rRNA from 1 species
UACAGAGGUCUCAAGCGUUGUUCGGAUUCAUUGGGCGUAAAGGGUGCGUAGGUGGCGUGGUAAGUCGGGUGUGAAAUUUCGGAGCUUAACUCCGAAACUGCAUUCGAUACUGCCGUGCUUGAGGACUGGAGAGGAGACUGGAAUUUACGGUGUAGCGGUGAAAUGCGUAGAUAUCGUAAGGAAGACCAGUGGCGAAGGCGGGUCUCUGGACAGUUCCUGACGCUGAAGCACGAAGGCCAGGGGAGCAAACGGG